UCCCUUGACAAGGAUGAUUUGGUGCCAUAAAAUGGUAUCGUUAAACACUUGACUAUGGCAAUAAACACCUUGCGAAAUAGGCGUAGCGGACCCGGGGGCGGUACCCGGCGCCUCCACCAAAACUGGCUCUGAACCGAUGACGAGACUGGGGAUUUGGGGGCGAAAUAGGCUCGACGCGCGUGGUAAAGGUUAGGUUUUUGCUCGGCAUGAUACCGCCGUUAUCGGGUCAAAUCUUCAGGUGCCAACGAUAAUGUUGCUCCUGCUUAUGCGGUCGCCGCUUAGUAGUCCUCAACGGGACGAAUGCAGUAACCGUUAGCGCGGUCGGGGGACACCGGGCAACAGAAGUCCCCCACU
rnacentral:tmRNA from 1 species